rnacentral:rRNA from 1 species
GAUUGGAUUAGGCAUGCAAGUCGAACGAGAAUUCGCGGUGUAGCAAUACAUCGCGGAGGACAGUGGCGAAAGGGUGAGGAACACGUGGGCAAUCUACCCUGAAGACUGGGAUAACAUGGCGAAAGCCGUGCUAAUACCGGAUGUGGUUGCGGGAUCGCAUGGUUCUGCAACUGAAGGCGGGGAUCCCGCAAGGGGCCUGUCACUUUAGGAGGAGCCCGCGUCCUAUCAGCUUGUUGGUGAGGUAACGGCUCGCCAAGGCUUACGGGUAGCUGGUCUGAGAGGAUGGUCAGCCACACUGGGACUGAGACACUGCCCAGACUCCUACGGGAGGCUGCAGUCGAGGAUCAUUCGCAAUGCCCGAAAGGAAUC